UGUUCUGUAGCUUAGUUGGUUAAAGCGCCGGACUAGCGAUAACGGAGUCGUGGGUUCGAAUGCCAUCAAAACAA
rnacentral:tRNA from 1 species